CGGCAGAUUAGUUUGAUAUUACUCAGUUAAAUAACUAACUAGCCAGUGUCCAUGUUUAAUGGCUGGAUGUGUGUAAAUUAAACUUACUCUGGUAGUAGACUUAAACUUGGGGAUGACGAUCGAUUUCUUUGAGAGCGCUUUAUUUCUGUAAACAUGCUAAAACACUACGUUUAUUUAUAUACAGUCUAUGCGUUCACACUACGUAGCCUCAUGCUGCGUUCGAUUGCACUCGGAACUCGGAAAGAUUCGACCUUCGAGUCGGAAAAGUGCAAUAGAACGGUCCUUGAACUCGGGAUUCCGACUCGAGAAUUCGGGUAGGAUCCAAGCAGUCCGAGUAGGGCGGAGAAAUACCUGGAAAACAUCAAAGCAAAAUGGCGCCACACACCGUGAGAGAAGCGCGUGUUGUUGCUGAAGGGACUGAACGGCUGCGAGCUGAACAGACUGUCACUCUCCAGAUGUUGGCACAUGUUCUCCAGGAACCGCAGCACAGAAGACGCACUGGAGGCGGAGGGCAGCUUCACGUAGCGGAUACCAUGCUCUGACCGCACUGGAACGACAGCAUUACAGAGGGCUGGUACGUACAGUCCACGCAGGCCUGAACAGCCUGCUGCAGCACGGCGUUGACUGGAGCUGGGCCAAAGUGGUCCGGGAGCUGCUGUACUAGUUUUCUGUCCAGGUGUGGGCCAUAGUUACCAUGCUUGUUCACAUAGACACAUACUGCAAUAAUACAAAGAGAGGAAAAGGUCAUUGACAAAAAUUAAAGGCGACCUAUUAUGCUUUUCCUUAUUUUCUGUCCUAUAUUUAAUGUUAUAUUGUUGGAUGUUCAUAAUAAACAUGUUUUAAAUAA